rnacentral:tRNA from 1 species
AUAGCUCAGUGGUAGGGCACUUGCCUAGCAUGUGCAAGUCCCUGGGUUCAAUCCCCAGU